rnacentral:rRNA from 1 species
UACGUAGGAGGCAAGCGUUGUCCGGAAUUACUGGGCGUAAAGCGCGUGUAGGUGGUGGGACAAGUCUGCUGUGAAAGCGCCUGGCUUAACCGGGCGAGGUCGGCGGAAACUGUCCGACUCGAGGACGGUAGAGGGGGGUGGAAUUCCCGGUGUAGUAGUGAAAUGCGUAGAGAUCGGGAGGAACACCUGUGGCGAAGGCGGCCCCCCCGGGCCGGCCCUGACACUGAGACGCGAAGGCGUGGGGAGCGAACGGG